GCCUGGAGGAGGCAGCGUUUGAGGAAUAUGGAGGCCAGGAGGAUGGAGCCCGGGAGCCAGGGAUGGUACAGGAAUGUUAAAGUCUUGGAGCAAGACACUAGAAAGAUCAGACUCUGAAGACAGAUCUCAACUCAUUCAAGGAGACUAAACUAUAGAAGAGCUUAUGAGGUUCCUCUCUCCUUCCCUACAAUCACUGUUGGCAACCUCCUUUGGAGUAUGUGAUAAGCCUGCUGGAGCCUGCACCCUGCAGAGUAGAGCUGAGUCAGCCCAGGUGUCCCAGAUGUCGUCCAGCGCAUGAGAGCCACGAUUCCAGCAGUCUAUGGAGCAGCCUGGCUCUUCUGACCACACACCUGAGAGUGGAUCUGGACAGCCCGGGCUUGGAUCAGCAGAGCCAGACACCUGCCCCACAGACACACGAAGAAGACAUGUGUUUACUGUAUGCCAGUGAAGAUUUGAGAUUAUGCGAGGCAGCACUAGAGGGACUUUCGUGUUGUUUUAGCUGUAAAAUGUCCCCCACCAGUUUUGUGUGCUCAGAGGUGGGGUUUUCAGAAAGCUGCUGGAUUAUAAAGACUCUAAUAUCAUCGAGUAAGGAGUCCACUGAUGACAGCAUAAGUCAUAAUUCAGUUGAAUUACUAUGAAAUGUGAAAGCAGGAUGUGAGGCCUAGUGGAAGGGAGUGGAUGGCAGGGCCAGGGCCUUGGCCUCUCCUCUCUGGCUCCUUCCCUUUCUCUGCUUCCUGGCCGCUAUGAGGUAACCAGUUCUUUCCACUGUGCCCUUUGGCCGUGGUGCUUCUGCCGCCUCAUGGGCCUAAGAGCCAUGGAGCCAGCAGGCCACGGACUGAAACCUCUGAGAC